CUGGAGGCGGGUGGGUGAACCGGCCGAUAGAUCAGGAUCCGGGUGGGUGAACAUACUAGGGAUGGAUUCCCGGGUAAUUCUGGAGCUAAUACAUGCGAAAACACCUGACUUUGUGGAAAGGUGGCAUUCAUUAGUCUUCGACCAACCAGGUUUCGGCCUGUUCAUGGUGAUCAUAAUGACCGAGCGGAUCGCUUUUGCGACAGUUCGUUCGAGUUUCUGACCUAUCAGCUCCCGUCGGUAGGGUAUUGGCCUACCGAGGCUGUGACGGGUAACGGGGAAUUAGGGUUCGAUUCCGGAGAGGGAGCCUGAGAGACGGCUACCACAUCUAAGGAUGGCAGCAGGCGCGCAAAUUACCCAAUCCCGAUACGGGGAGGUAGUGACCAGAAAUAGCGGCCCAGGACCAAUGGUUCUGUGAUUGCAAUGAGUGGAAAGCCAAAUUAUCUUUGCGGGUACUUAUUGGAGGGCAAGUCUGGUGCCAGCAGCCGCGGUAAUUCCAGUUUCAUUAGCGUAUAUUAAAUUGCUGCAGUUAAAGCGUCCGUAGUUGGAUUUCGUCUAAUUCGAAGGGAGGCUCGAUCCCACCUCGUGUGAAUCGUUGCGCCCUUUGUUUCCAGACUCGGGUGAAAGGUCGCAAGACUAUUUUACUCUGUUACUUUGAGCAAAUUGGAGUGCUCCAACCAGGCUUCUGCUUGAACAGCUCAGCAUGGAAUAACAAUAUAGGACUGUGAUCCUCCUUGUUGGUGAUGUGGAACACAAGUAAUGGUUGAUAGGGACAUACGGGGGCAUCUGUACUUGCUGGAGAGAGGUGAAAUUCUAAGACCCAGCAAAGACAAACAAGUGCGAAAGCAUUUGCCCAGUGUGUGCCUGUUAAUCAAGGACGAAAGUUGGGGGAUUGAAGACGAUUAGAUACCGUCGUAGUCCCAACUAUAAACUAUGCCGACUGAGGAUCGGAGGCUGUACAAAUACGACUCCUUCGGCACUCCAAGAGAAAUUUAAGUCUCUGGGCCCUGGGGGGAGUAUGGUCGCAAGGCUGAAACUUAAAGGAAUUGACGGAAGGGCACCACCAGGAGUGGAGCCUGCGGCUUAAUUUGACUCAACGCGGGGAACCUCACCAGGCCCGGACAUAGUCAUGAUUGACAGAUUGAGAGUUCUUUCUCGAUUCUAUGGGUGGUGGUGCAUGGCCGUUCUUAGUCGGUGAGGUGACUUGUCUGGUUAAUUCCGAUAACGGACGAGACCUCGACCUACUAACUAGCUGUGGUUUACUUUUGUAAGCAUUUCAGCUUCUUAGAGGGACUUUGUGAGUCUAUCACAAGGAAGUUCGAGCCUAUAACAGGUCUGUGAUGCCCUUAGAUGGCCUGGGAUGCACACGCGCUACAUCGACGAAGCCAGCGAGUAUUGCCCUUCUCCGUCCGGACUGGGAAAUAUUCUGAAAAUCGUCGUGAUAGGGAUUGACCUUUGCAAUUAUGGGUCACGAACGAGGAAUUCCUAGUAAGGACAAGUCAUCACCUUUUGCUGAUUACGUCCCUGCCCUUUGUACACACCGACCCGAAANUGGUCGAUCCUGGCGGUCGAAUUGAACUUGAUCGAUCCGGACGGUCGAAUGCAACUCGAUCGAUCCGGUCGAAC
rnacentral:rRNA from 1 species